AUUGAACGCUGGCGGCAGGCCUAACACAUGCAAGUCGAGCGGAUGAAGGGAGCUUGCUCCUGGAUUCAGCGGCGGACGGGUGAGUAAUGCCUAGGAAUCUGCCUGGUAGUGGGGGAUAACGUCCGGAAACGGGCGCUAAUACCGCAUACGUCCUGAGGGAGAAAGUGGGGGAUCUUCGGACCUCACGCUAUCAGAUGAGCCUAGGUCGGAUUAGCUAGUUGGUGGGGUAAAGGCCUACCAAGGCGACGAUCCGUAACUGGUCUGAGAGGAUGAUCAGUCACACUGGAACUGAGACACGGACCAGACUCCUACGGGAGGCAGCAGUGGGGAAUAUUGGACAAUGGGCGAAAGCAUGAUACAGCCAUGCCGCGUGUGUGAAGAAGGUCUUCGGAUUGUAAAGCACUUUAAGUUGGGAGGAAGCGCAGUAAGUUAAUACCUUGCUGUUUUGACGUUACCAACAGAAUAAGCACCGGCUAACUUCGUG
rnacentral:rRNA from 1 species